rnacentral:rRNA from 1 species
AACGUGCCCAGUCGUGGGGGAUAACGUAGCGAAAGUUACGCUAAUACCGCAUACGAUCUACGGAUGAAAGCGGGGGACCGUAAGGCCUCGCGCGAUUGGAGCGGCCGAUAUCAGAUUAGGUAGUUGGUGGGGUAAAGGCUCACCAAGCCAACGAUCUGUAGCUGGUCUGAGAGGACGACCAGCCACACUGGAACUGAGACACGGUCCAGACUCCUACGGGAGGCAGCAGUGGGGAAUUUUGGACAAUGGACGCAAGUCUGAUCCAGCCAUUCCGCGUGCAGGAUGAAGGCCCUCGGGUUGUAAACUGCUUUUGUACGGAACGAAAAGGUUUCCAUUAAUACUGGGAGCUCAUGACGGUACCGUAAGAAUAAGCACCGGCUAACUACGUGCCAGCAGCCGCGGUAAUACGUAGGGUGCAAGCGUUAAUCGGAAUUACUGGGCGUAAAGCGUGCGCAGGCGGUUAUGUAAGACAGAGGUGAAAUCCCCGGGCUCAACCUGGGAACGGCCUUUGUGACUGCAUAGCUAGAGUACGGUAGAGGGGGAUGGAAUUCCGCGUGUAGCAGUGAAAUGCGUAGAUAUGCGGAGGAACACCGAUGGCGAAGGCAAUCCCCUGGACCUGUACUGACGCUCAUGCACGAAAGCGUGGGGAGCAAACAGGAUUAGAUACCCUGGUAGUCCACGCCCUAAACGAUGUCAACUGGUUGUUGGGUCUUCACUGAC